AAUAAUAAUAAUAAUAAUAAUAAUAAUAAUAAUAAUAAUAAUAAUAAUAAGAUGCAUCUCAGCCUUGAGCUAAACUGGAAAAGUACUGAACAGAGCAUGAGAAAUAAAGGGCAUUUAAAGGUUCUGAAAUGCAAAUGCCUUGACUUUUCCUGAUCAGGUAGAGUUUUUUCUAAUUGGGCUGGAUGAGGGCAGGUCAGUGUUACACACAGUGUCCGGUUGCAGGUACAACCAAAUUUAGUGCCUCUGUGUACUUUGACAUCACGCAAAUGUCACAUAAGGUCUGCUGGUUAAACAUUUUCUAAGUUUCCCUGUGCAAGAUUAAAAUGUGAAGCUUCUYUGGGGAAGAACAGAAUUUAAACACAGAAGAUGCACACAAAAGGGUGAGGUUAAGGGYGGAUGUGAUCAAAAUCUAGAGUUAUGGCCUACAUGUAUUCUACAUUUGGAUGAAAAUUAAAAUGGCAUGUCAGCGUGAGAAYAUCAUGGCCUCAGUGAAACACGGUGGUGGCAGCACAGUGCAGUAGGAAUGGUUCUUCAGCAGGAACAUCUGACAAAGGAAUUAUUCCUUAAUAAAGAUGAAUGACAAAAGUUUCAGUCUAGAUAAAUAAAGAUGGAAGAGAUGUGCACCAAAUGACAGGGUAGGGCUUAACACAAAUGUACACCGCACUAUUCCGAUUACAACAACAUGCAUCCUUUCAUUUCAMUUCAAAAAUAUUUGCUACUUUGUGUUGGCCUGGCGYGCAAAACCCCCUAAGAAACAAUAACAUUUGUGKAUUUACCUUGACAAAAUGUGGGGAAGUUUAAUGGAUGUGAUUAUUUUUCWGGGAGACGGUAAAACUGGGAUUGGCYAGUGGAGCUCAUUUGAAUCCUUGCAUUAACUUGAAYCUGCUUAUGACUGGCAAAGACAGUGCCCUCGGAGCCUGGUGCUACGUGGAUAGCGCAGAUGAUGGAGUCAAUCCAUGUGAAGAUUUUGACUYGGAGUCYCACCUUCAUUGAUAAAAUUCAGUAUCUUGACAGGAACAUGCCUAUAAUCAUUGGGCUCCCUGCAGGGGCGGGACGCCUUUAUUGAGGUGUGCUGGAAAGAGCCGCCGAGUGAUACCAGGACAUCUGUAUCACUCACCUGCUGUAAACUGAAGAUGAGCGCUUCUGUUCUAUUGUGCUGUGUUGCAAUACAGAAAAAAUAAACUGAGCCAUUUCUAGAGAAUGCUAUGUGUAUAAUGUGAUAAAAAAAAAAAAGCUGGUCUGAGAGGUAGACAGAAAAGUAGCAAAUAAAA